ACUGUUUUUUUUUUUCAAAAAAACAGAAAACCGUUUUUUUUUGGUUAAUUUUUUGGGUUCCGCCUUUGGUCUCGUUCUCUCUGUCUGUCCUGCUCCUUCGACCUCUCUCUAGCCCUCUUUCUCUAAAAUCUCAGAGCUUCCAUUGGCCGGUGGCGGGGCUGUGGUCGUCGAUUCUAUUACAGCUACAUUGUAUGAUGGACAAUGAAGAAUAUGUUGAUCUACCUUUUAAAGUUGGCCAAAUGGCAGAGUCAAGAUCAUUGCAACAAGGUUUUCGUGGCGCAUGGUUUCGAUGCAAGAUAAAGGCGAUUCGCAUGAAAAAAGGUCCGAUGAGGCAUGCCUUAGAAUUUGUUGACUUUCCAGAUGAUAAAAUGGAAUGGACAAAUUUAUAUCAAAAGCCUAGUAAGUCAAAGGAGGUAAAAAGGCAAUUGAUGGUUCGUCCUCACUUUCCUCCUAUCUAUCGUGAAAGUCAAAUGCCUGAUGUCAAUAGCGUCUUAGAAGUGGCAGUCAUUGUUGAUGAUAUUUGGAAAGUGGGGGAUUUGGUGGAUUGGUUGUCUGAUAGUUGCUAUUGGUCUGGAAGAGUAACUGAAUUGUUGGGGGGUGAGCGAGUAAAGAUCGACUUGUUUCCUCCUCCUAUGGGUGAAGGAUCAUCAUAUGAAGUCUUCUGCAAGGACCUACGCCCAUCAUUAGAUUGGACACCAAAACAUGGCUGGACGGUGCCUAUUCCUGUGGAAAAUGGAAAUGGGCGUUCUUGUGCGCGGAUUAUUAAACCAUUUAAUCAAGUUGCAGGGGCCCCUCCAAAUUUGAUGGUCCACACUGAAGCCGAAGGAAGAAAUGGAGUUCAGGCUGCCGUUAGAGCAUCUCUUGAGCGUAAUGCAUCUUUUUCCUCUCAUACUUCAGCAAGCUCAUUACAACCUCCAGAUGGAUUAGAACAAAUGGCAAGGCUACCUUUGAUCAAUACGGAAUCUAAGGAGAUACAGACAUCAGAAACAAAGUUGGAAUUAGAUAUGGGAGAUAAUGGCAUUGGAAAAACCAGUUACUCAGAUAGUGUUUCAAACUCACAUAACAGAGAUGCAUCAGCUAAUAUAUUGGGAAAUAUGGCUGGGAAGGGAAAAAAUGAUAGCUCUGGUUCUUCAAAGAAGCUGAAAGCUGAUGGAAGUAUUUCUUUAAAUUCCAUGUGUUCUGAUACAAUAGAAGCUGCAGUUAUGGACCUGGAGGAACUUGUGAACAGAGUUAAAUGGAUUAGGGGUUUCUUGGAACUUGGAAAACCUCUGUCAAAUAGUGUGCAGAAUCCUUGGAAAUUUCUGGAACAUCGGGCAUCAUCCACACCAAAAUGAGGGUUCAGUUUUAUUGAAAGGGUUUAGUGAACUGAUGCAGAAGUGGCGCCCUGCAUCAUAUCUUGGAUCCUACAGAGGAUGAAUCACAAAAAAGUGUCCAGGGAUUAACUGGAUCUACCAUCAAACCUGGGAAGUUUAAUCUUCGGUUUAUCUACUGUUGUGUCUUUAAAGCACUUGUUGGACGGAGUAAGGAUUUGUAACGAUUAAUGCCACGUUUUUCACUAAAGGAUGCACUGUUGUGGCGGGAGAUCUUUCCAGACCAGGUGAUCUAUUUUGGUGAAAGAAAUGAAUUUGCACUGGAAAUUCAAUCCGGAAAGCCCAUGAUUUUUGAAGCCUCUACUUCUGCCUCUCUUUUUUUUUUCAGCAACUUUUGGCUUUCCAAAUCUCACUGAUGUGUAUCUAGUGAUGGUUUUGAAUUUUAUUUCCAGUCCCGGAAUGUGUAAAGCUUCCGCUUCAGUAGCCAUUGCAAGCAGUGAUGACUUCUAUAAUAACUUUUGCUUGUGAUUCUGUAAGCAUCAAAAGUAAUCCUAGAGAAAUUAGGCAGAUACAUAUUUUCUGCUUGGAGCUCUAUUUACAUAGACUAGAUUUUGUUCGGUGCAAAAUACUGGGAAAAGUGCAUCCCUUCUGGGUCAGAUGUCUAAACAAUUGUGGACAAAUAAGCUUUUCUUAUUUCAUAAAUUAGUUUAUUCUAUAAAUUUUUGGACGAAUGAAAAUUGCCUACACUCGGUUAGAUCUCAA